rnacentral:rRNA from 1 species
ACCAGCACCCCGAGUGGUCGGGACGAUUAUUGGGCCUAAAGCAUCCGUAGCCGGUCCUGCAAGUCUUCCGUUAAAUCCAGCUGCUCAACAGAUGGGCUGCGGGAGAUACUACAGGGCUAGGAGGCGGGAGAGGCAAGCGGUACUUUAUGGGUAGGGGUAAAAUCCGCUGAUCCAUAGAAGACCACCAGUGGCGAAGGCGGCUUGCCAGAACGCGCUCGACGGUGAGGGAUGAAAGCUGGGGGAGCAAACCGGA